rnacentral:rRNA from 1 species
AUUGAACGCUGGCGGCAGGCCUAACACAUGCAAGUCGAACGAGUGGCGGACGGGUGAGUAAUGUCUGGGAAACUGCCUGAUGGCGGGGGAUAACUACUGGAAACGUUAGCUAAUACCGCAUACCCUCGGAUGUGCCCCUCUGGGAGUAGCUAGUGGGUGGGGUAAAGGCGAACCUACACGACGAUCCCUAGCUGGUCUGCAGGGAUGACCAGCCAAACUGUAACUGAGACACGGUCCAGACUCCUACGGGAGGAAGCAGUGGGGAAUAUUGCACAAUGGGCGCAAGCCUGAUGCAGCCAUGCCGCGUGUAUGAAGAAGGCCUUCGGGUUGUAAAGUACUUUCAGCGGGGAGGCGUUACCCGCAGAAGAAGCACCGGCUAACUCCGUGCCAGCAGCCGCGGUAAUAC